AAAAAAAAAAAAGAGAGAGAAGAACUUAUCAUUUUCAAUUAUUUUUUAAAUCAAGCAUCAUUUUCAAUUACUUGUUUGAUGGUUAAGGAAACUUUACAUUAAUCACUUUAUUUUUGUGGGAUCAAUUCCAUUAAUCAACAUUUGCAAAAAAGAAAAAUAUUAAUCAAAAUUGAAACGUUAUAGUAAAAUUACAAUUUGAUAAUAUUUCUUCUGUAAUUGUCAUUUUUCAAAUAGGAGAUUUCGCAUAAAGUGUGUGGGUG
rnacentral:misc_RNA from 1 species